UGGUUCUGGCAUCGAUGAAGAACGCAGCGAAAUGCGAUAAGUAAUGCGAAUUGCAGAAUUCCGUGAGUCAUCGAAUCUUUGAACGCACAUUGCGCCCGCUAGUACUCUAGCGGGCAUGCCUGUUCGAGCGUCAUUUCAACCCUCAAGCCCUGCUUGGUGUUGGGGCCCUACGGCUGCCGUAGGCCCUGAAAGACAGCGGCGGGCCCGCAUAACUCCGAGCGCAGUAACACAUCUCGCUCAGGGCGUUGUAGUGGGAUCCGGCCUUCUAUAAUACUUCAACGGUUGACCUCGGAUCAGGUAGGAAUACCCGCUGA
rnacentral:misc_RNA from 1 species